GACAGAGGUGCCAAGCGUUAGGCGGAAUCACUGGGCUUAAAGCGUGUGUAGGCGGAUUGGUAAGUACCUUGUGAAAUCCCACGGCUCAACCGUGGAACGGCUGGGUAUACUGGCGGUCUUGAGCCACCUAGGGGCGAGCGGAACAAACGGUGGAGCGGUGAAAUGCGUAGAUAUCGUUUGGAACGCCAACGGUGAAAACAGCUCGCUGGGGGUGUGCUGACGCUGAGACACGAAAGCCAGGGGAGCGAACGGG
rnacentral:rRNA from 1 species